AGAGUUUGAUCCUGGCUCAGGAUGAACGCUAGCGGCAGGCCUAACACAUGCAAGUCGAGGGGUAGUUGUAGCUUGCUACUUUGAGACCGGCGCACGGGUGCGUAACGCGUAUGCAAUCUACCUUAUACAAGGGGAUAGCCCGAAGAAAUUUGGAUUAAUACCCUAUAGUAUUAUCGACCGGCAUCGGUUGAUAAUUAAAAUUCCGAUGGUAUAAGAUGAGCAUGCGUCCUAUUAGCUGGUUGGUGUGGUAACGGCACACCAAGGCGACGAUAGGUAGGGGUCCUGAGAGGGAGAUCCCCCACACUGGUACUGAGACACGGACCAGACUCCUACGGGAGGCAGCAGUGAGGAAUAUUGGACAAUGGGCGCAAGCCUGAUCCAGCCAUGCCGCGUGCAGGAAGACUGCCCUAUGGGUUGUAAACUGCUUUUAAACGGGAAGAAACCCUCCGACGUGUACG
rnacentral:rRNA from 1 species